UUGUUUAAUUGUCUUUUUUAUGUAAUUUUAGAUCUAGGGUACCUAACAUUAAUCUAUCACAUAAUCAUAUCCCAACCCCACUACUCGUGACGAUGAGAAGGAUUAUGUGGAUUUGAGUAUGAAGGUGGUUAAGAGAAGGGAUCCGCUUAGGGGUAUUACAAUGGCUAAGGCUGUUAUUUCUGGUUUGCAGAGUGAUGGCACUGGUGUUUUGACAAGGUUGUUGCGGUCUGAGAUGGUUUCAACGACGCCGGAGGUUGACGAGAGUGUUCCCCGUUGUGGCGGUCACCAUUGGACGAGUCUUGCUGUGCUUAGUAUUUGUGGUUGUGGCUUGUCGGACUUGGAUUCUCUAGUUGGAGCAGCAGCAUUUGGUUGGAGCAUGAGUCUUUCAAACCCACAAAAAGUCAGGCUAAGCACCUGAAAAUCAAGAAUACCUAAAGCAAACGGGUGAGAAGAGUUUUGUAUGCAUAAGAGAUGCAACAAUUGCCUACAUGAACGAAAAAAAAUACAAAAAGCUUUUCAUGCCGUGCUUGUAGGGAUCAAAAGUUGGUCACCUUGCAGUCCGUAAGUUAUUUAAUUUACAAAAUUGGUGAUCAAUAUUCUGUAAUUCCAUUUAUUGGGACAGAGUUCUUGAUAGAGGAAAUGGCCAAAAAAAUUGAAUUGGAAAUCACAAGGCCGCAUGAAUCUUGGUUUCAAGGAGUGCAGGUAAAUAUGAAAAUAUUAGUAUAUGUUUGACAUGUGAAUAUGUAUCCACAAUCUAAAGUCGUAAUUAUCAAUUUUUAUCUUUUCUUCCACUCAUACAUGUAAAAAUAACUUAUUUUGAUAUUUACUUGUGGUCAAGGUGGCGGGAUGGACCCAAGUAUAUGGGAAUAUUCUAACAUUUGCGGCAAUAAAAGGCGCAGGUCAUAUUUAGACGAUGCUUUUCCACCGGAGAGAAUAUUUGUGAUGUGGAAGACAUUUUUGGAAGGAAAACCACUUCCAAUACUUGGGAAUAUUCUAACAUUUGCGACAAUAAAAGGCACGAGUCAUAUUCAGCCGAAGCUUUUCCACCGAAGCUUUUCCACCGGAGAGAACAUUUGUGAUAUGGAAGACAUUUUUGAAAGGAAAACUACUUUGAAAGAGACCCCAUUCCAUUAUUAAAAAAAGAUAUUAAGAAAAAAAUACAAUUAUAUAACAUUAUUUAAGCAAAAAGUACAAUUAUGUAACAUUAGUUUUUUUUGAAUACAUUUGAUGUGAUUUUAAUGAAGUGUGUAUUGACUGGUAUUUUUUA